rnacentral:rRNA from 1 species
AUUGAACGCUGGCGGCAGGCUUAACACAUGCAAGUCGAGCGGGGUGAUGGUGCUUGCACUAUCACUUAGCGGCGGACGGGUGAGUAAUGCUUAGGAAUCUGCCUAUUAGUGGGGGACAACAUCUCGAAAGGGAUGCUAAUACCGCAUACGUCCUACGGGAGAAAGCAGGGGAUCGCUUGUGACCUUGCGCUAAUAGAUUAGCCGAAGUCGGAGUAGCUAGUUGGUGGGGUAAAGGCCUACCAAGGCGACGAUCUGUAGCGGGUCUGAGAGGGCGACCGGCCACACGGGGACUGAGACACGGCCCAGACUCCUACGGGAGGAAGCAGUGGGGAAUAUUGCACAAUGGGCGAAAGCCUGACGCAGCGACGCCGCGUGCGGGAAGAAGGCCUUCGGGUUGUAAACCGCUUUCAGGAGGGACGAAGCCACUCGGGUUAAUAGCCCAGAGGGUGACGGUACCUCCAGAAGAAGCCCCGGCUAACUACGUGCCAGCCGCCGCCGUAA